GACGAACGCUGGCGGCGUGCUUAACACAUGCAAGUCGAACGGAAAGGCCCUGCUUUUGUUGGGUGCUCGAGUGGCGAACGGGUGAGUAACACGUGAGUAACCUGCCCUUGACUUUUGGAUAACUUCAGGAAACUUGGGCUAAUACCGGAUAGGAGCUCCUGCUGCAUGGUGGGGGUUGGAAAGUUUCGGCGGUUGGGGAUGGACUCGCGGCUUAUCAGCUUGUUGGUGGGGUAGUGGCUUACCAAGGCUUUGACGGGUAGCCGGCCUGAGAGGGUGACCGGCCACAUUGGGACUGAGAUACGGCCCAGACUCCUACGGGAGGCAGCAGUGGGGAAUAUUGCACAAUGGGCGGAAGCCUGAUGCAGCAACGCCGCGUGCGGGAUGACGGCCUUCGGGUUGUAAACCGCUUUCGCCUGUGACGAAGCGUGAGUGACGGUAAUGGGUAAAGAAGCACCGGCUAACUACGUG
rnacentral:rRNA from 1 species